rnacentral:rRNA from 1 species
AACGAACGCUGGCGGCAUGCCUAACACAUGCAAGUCGAACGGGAUCCUGGUUUCGCCAGGUGAGAGUGGCGGACGGGUGAGUAACGCGUGGGAACCCUGCCCAGUGGGUGGGGGAUAACUGCGGGAAACUGCAGCUAAUACCGCAUGAGCCCGCAAGGGAAAGAUUGAUCGCCAUUGGAGGGGCCCGCGUUCGAUUAGGUAGUUGGUGAGGUAACGGCUCACCAAGCCGUACGANCGAUAGCUGGUCUGAGAGGAUGAUCAGCCACACUGGGACUGAGAUACGGCCCAGACUCCUACGGGAGGCAGCAGUGGGGAAUAUUGGACAAUGGGGGCAACCCUGAUCCAGCAAUGCCGCGUGAGUGAUGAAGGCC